rnacentral:rRNA from 1 species
AUUGAACGCUGGCGGCGUGCUUAACACAUGCAAGUCGUGCGGUAACAGGCGUAGCAAUACGUGCUGACGAGCGGCGAACGGGUGCGUAAUACAUGGGAAUCUGCCCUUUAGUGGGGAAUAACCCGGCGAAAGCCGGGCUAAUGCCGCAUAAGAUCUUCGGAUGAAAGCGGGGGAUCGUAAGACCUCGCGCUGAUGGAUGAGCCCAUGUCGGAUUAGCAGUUGGUGAGGUAACGGCUCACCAAGGCGACGAUCCGUAGCUGGUCUGAGGGGACGGCCAGCCACACUGGGACUGAGACACGGCCCAGACUCCUACGGGAGGCAGCAGUGGGGAAUAUUGGACAAUGGGCGAAAGCCUGAUCCAGCGACGCCGCGUGUGUGAAGAAGGCCUGCGGGUUGUAAAGCACUUUCG